rnacentral:rRNA from 1 species
AGAGUUUGAUCCUGGCUCAGGAUGAACGCUAGCGGUAUGCUUAACACAUGCAAGUCGAACGGAGUUUCUAAUAUUGACUUUCGGGAAUUUAUUUUAAACUUAGUGGCGAACGGGUGAAUAACACGUAAGAACCUACCUUUAAGAAGGGGAUAACAGUUAGAAAUGACUGCUAAUACCCUAUAUACCUACGAGUAAAAGAUUUAUCGCUUAAAGCAGGGCUUGCGUCUGAUUAGCUAGUUGGUUGGGUAAAGGCUAACCAAGGCGACGAUCAGUAGCUGGCUUGAGAGGGCGACCAGCCACACUGGGACUGAGACACGGCCCAGACUUCUACGGAAGGCAGCAGUGAGGAGUUUUCCGCAAUGGGCGAAAGCCUGACGGAGCAAUACCGCGUGGAGGAUGAAGGUUCAUGGAUUGUAAACUCCUUUUCUUAGAAAAGAAAUCAAUGACGGUAUCUAAGGAAUAAGCAUCGGCUAACUCCGUGCCAGCAGCCGCGGUAAGACGGGGGAUGCAAGCGUUAUUCGGAAUUAUUGGGCGUAAAGCGUCUGUAGGUGGCUAAAUAAGUCUGGUGUUAAAUACUGAAGCUCAACUUCAGACCUGCAUCAGAAACUAUUUAGCUUGAGUACGUUAGAGGCAGGGGGAAUUCCCAGUGUAGCGGUGAAAUGCGUAGAUAUUGGGAGGAACACCAACAGCGAAGGCACCCUGCUGGGCCGAUACUGACACUCAAGGACGAAAGCUAGGGGAGCGAAUGGGAUUAGAUACCCCAGUAGUCCUAGCUGUCAACGAUGGAGGCUAAACGUUGUCCAUUUGGCCAGCGUUGAAGUUAACGCGUUAAGCCUCCCGCCUGGGGAGUACGCUCGCAAGGGU